rnacentral:rRNA from 1 species
GAUGAACGCUAGCUACAGGCUUAACACAUGCAAGUCGAGGGCAGCAUGAACAAGCUUGCUUUGUUGAUGGCGACCGGCGCACGGGUGCGUAACACGUAUCCAAUCUGCCCGCGGCUCGGGGAUAGCCCAUCGAAAGAUGGAUUAAUACCCCGAUGGCGUGGUCACUCCGCAUGGGGUUUCCACUAAAGGUAUUCCGGCCGCGGAUGAGGAUGCGUAUGAUUAGGUAGUAGGCGGGGUAACGGCCCACCAAGGCGACGAUCAGUAGCCGGCCUGAGAGGGUGAACGGCCACAUUGGGACUGAGACACGGCCCAAACUCCUACGGGAGGCAGCAGUGGGGAAUAUUGGACAAUGGGGGAAACCCUGAUCCAGCGACGCCGCGUGAGUGAAGAAGUAUUUCGGUAUGUAAAGCUCUAUCAGCAGGGAAGAAAAUGACGGUACCUGACUAAGAAGCCCCGGCUAACUACGUG